AACACAUGCAAGUCGAACGAUGAAGCCUUUCGGGGUGGAUUAGUGGCGAACGGGUGAGUAACACGUGGGCAAUCUGCCCUUCACUCUGGGACAAGCCCUGGAAACGGGGUCUAAUACCGGAUAACACUCUGUCCCUCAUGGGGCGGGGUUAAAAGCUCCGGCGGUGAAGGAUGAGCCCGCGGCCUAUCAGCUUGUUGGUGGGGUAAUGGCCUACCAAGGCGACGACGGGUAGCCGGCCUGAGAGGGCGACCGGCCACACUGGGACUGAGACACGGCCCAGACUCCUACGGGAGGCAGCAGUGGGGAAUAUUGCACAAUGGGCGAAAGCCUGAUGCAGCGACGCCGCGUGAGGGAUGACGGCCUUCGGGUUGUAAACCUCUUUCAGCAGGGAAGAAGCGAAAGUGACGGUACCUGCAGAAGAAGCACCGGCUAACUACGUGCCAGCAGCCGCGGUAAUACGUAGGGUGCGAGCGUUGUCCGGAAUUAUUGGGCGUAAAGAGCUCGUAGGCGGCUUGUCACGUCGGAUGUGAAAGCUCGGGGCUUAACCCCGAGUCUGCAUUCGAUACGGGCUAGCUAGAGUGUGGUAGGG
rnacentral:rRNA from 1 species